ACACUCCUGCGGGAGGCAGCAGUGGGGAAUAUUGGACAAUGGGCGCAAGCCUGAUCCAGCCAUGCCGCGUGAGUGAUGAAGGCCCUAGGGUUGUAAAGCUCUUUCACCGGUGAAGAUAAUGACGGUAACCGGAGAAGAAGCUCCGGCUAACUUCGUGCCAGCAGCCGCGGUAAUACGAAGGGGGCUAGCGUUGUUCGGAUUUACUGGGCGUAAAGCGCACGUAGGCGGACUAUUAAGUCAGGGGUGAAAUCCCGGGGCUCAACCCCGGAACUGCCUUUGAUACUGGUAGUCUUGAGUUCGAGAGAGGUGAGUGGAAUUCCGAGUGUAGAGGUGAAAUUCGUAGAUAUUCGGAGGAACACCAGUGGCGAAGGCGGCUCACUGGCUCGAUACUGACGCUGAGGUGCGAAAGCGUGGGGAGCAAACAGGAUUAGAUACCCCAGUAGUCCCAUG
rnacentral:rRNA from 1 species